rnacentral:rRNA from 1 species
UACGUAGGGUGCAAGCGUUGUCCGGAAUUAUUGGGCGUAAAGAGCUCGUAGGCGGUUUGUCGCGUCGGCUGUGAAAACUCGGGGCUCAACCCCGAGCCUGCAGUCGAUACGGGCAGGCUAGAGUGUUGCAGGGGAGACUGGAAUUCCUGGUGUAGCGGUGAAAUGCGCAGAUAUCAGGAGGAACACCGGUGGCGAAGGCGGGUCUCUGGGCAACAACUGACGCUGAGGAGCGAAAGCGUGGGGAGCGAACAGG